GGCCGCGGGAAUUCGAUUGGAUCGCCCUUAGAGUUUGAUCAUGGCUCAGGAUGAACGCUAGCGGCAGGCUUAAUACAUGCAAGUCGAACGGUAUUCGGGUAGCAAUACCUGGAGAGAGUGGCGCACGGGUGCGUAACGCGUAUGCAACCUACCUUUAACAGGGGGAUAGCCCGGAGAAAUCCGGAUUAAUACCCCAUAGUAAUUAUUGAUGGCAUCAUUAAUAGUUUAAAGUUCCGGCGGUUAAAGAUGGGCAUGCGUGCCAUUAGCUAGUUGGUGAGGUAACGGCUCACCAAGGCAACGAUGGCUAGGGGUUCUGAGAGGAUUAUCCCCCACACUGGUACUGAGACACGGACCAGACUCCUACGGGAGGCAGCAGUAAGGAAUAUUGGGCAAUGGGCGCAAGCCUGACCCAGCCAUGCCGCGUGCAGGAAGACAGCCUUAUGGGUUGUAAACUGCUUUUGUCAGGGAAUAAACCCUUGUACGCGUACAAGGUUGAAUGUACCUGAAGAAUAAGCAUCGGCUAACUCCGUGCCAGCAGCCGCGGUAAUACGGAGGAUGCUAGCGUUAUCCGGAUUCAUUGGGUUUAAAGGGUGCGCAGGCGGGCUAUUAAGUCAGGGGUGAAAUCCUACGGCUCAACCGUGGAACUGCCUUUGAUACUGAUAGUCUUGAAUUUAGUUGAAGUGGGCGGAAUGUAGCAUGUAGCGGUGAAAUGCAUAGAUAUGCUACAGAACACCGAUAGCGAAGGCAGCUCACUAAGUUAAAAUUGA
rnacentral:rRNA from 1 species